rnacentral:piRNA from 1 species
UCCUUCAAUGGUGGUUGCUACAAUGUCUCC